rnacentral:rRNA from 1 species
GACGAACGCUGGCGGCGCGCUUAACACAUGCAAGUCGAACGGAAAGGCCUGCUUUCCCUUGUGGAUUGCGGGUACUCGAGUGGCGAACGGGUGAGUAACACGUGAGUGAUCUGCCCCCAACUUGGGUAUAAGCCUGGGAAACUGGGUCUAAUUCCCGAUAGGACUGCAGGGUGGUGCCUGUGGUGGAAAACGAUUUUCUAGUGGUUGGGGAUGAGCUCGCGGCCUAUCAGCUUGUUGGUGGGGUAAUGGCCUACCAAGGCGGCGACGGGUAGCCGGGCGGGGGGGGUGGGCCGGCAUGUGUGGGAUGGGACACCGCCCAGACUCCGACGGGAGGCAGCAGUGGGGAAUAUUGCACAAUGGGCGGAAGCCUGAUGCAGCGACGCCGCGUGGGGGAUGACGGCCUUCGGGUUGUAAACUCCUUUCGACCGCGAGGAAGCCACCUGGUUGGAAGGGUGGUGACGGUAGUGGUAGAAGAAGCACCGGCUAACUACGUG